rnacentral:rRNA from 1 species
AACGAACGUUGGCGGCGUGGAUUAGGCAUGCAAGUCGAACGAAUCCCAGGCCUUGUAGCAAUACCGGGCUUGGGGGAAGUGGCGAAAGGGGCAGUAAUGCAUGGACAACCUACCCUGGGGACCGGGAUAGCCUUUCUAACGAAAGGGUAAUACCGGGCGAUGUGGUUGAGAGGCAUCUCUUGACCAUGAGAUGAAUUUCGCCUCGGGAGGGGUUCAUGUCGUAUUAGCUUGUUGGCGGGGUAACGGCCCACCAAGGCAAAGAUGCGUAGCGGGUGUGAGAGCACGACCCGCGCCACUGGCACUGAGACACUGGCCAGACUCCUACGGGAGGCUGCAGUCGAGGAUCUUCGGCAAUGGGCGCAAGCCUGACCGAGCGACGCCGCGUGAGCGAUGAAGGCCUUCGGGUUGUAAAGCUCUUUAGUGGGGGAGAAAAGCGCAAGCUUGAUCUAUCCCAAGAAUAAGCACGGGCUAAGUUCGUGCCAGCAGCCGCGGUAAUAC